CAUUUUUGGUCCUGCUCCCUCUUCUUUCCUCCCCCCCCAUCUCUCUUCUUCCUCUUCUCCCUCCACCUCUUCUUCCACCCCCUCCUCCUCCUCCUCUUCCUCUUGCCGCAAAUCUCUCUCCAACUCCUCCCCCUCCUCUCCUCCCGUCCCUACCUCUUCCCCAGCC
rnacentral:ribozyme from 1 species